GUGUAGACGUGGCUCUUGCGUAUGGAGCGUCUGAAGAAGCCCUUACAUCCGUCACAGCUGGAGGCUCCGUAGUGUUUCCCCGUGGCUUUGUCUCCACAGAUGGCACAGUUACUGCUCACCCCGUCUGGCAGGUUGGGCUCAGUCGGCAUGCUGUCUGAAACACAGAAAGAAUGCAUGAUGCAAGGGACCACGACGAGCACCACGAUCCACACCGCUCCACUGAUGAGGAGAGCGUGGAACUUCUGGAAGGAUACCACAAGCUCAGUGUUGUAGUAGAACGACAUCAAGCGUGUGACGAGGAUGAUCACGUAGAAGAGGAAGGACAUGUACAUGUGGAUGUGGAUCAUGCCGCUGAUCACCCGGCACAACCCGGGGCCCAGGUCCCAUUGAUGAUUGGCGUAAUAGUAAAUCCUGAAGGGCACGGUCAGGAGGAAGAUGAAGUGGGUGAAGAUGAGGUUGAGUACGGCUAUGGAGGUGAUAGAUGUGGAGCUGAACCUCAUGAUGUGCAUCAUCAGGCUCAGGCUGAUGAUGCCACUGAGCAGAACUACUGAGUUGAUGACCAGGAGGACGGUGUGGUACUCUUUAGGGUCUGACGUAUUUUCCAGGGGGGCUACGGUGUUCGGUGAGGAGCUUGAGGUCAUCAUGGAGGUCAUCAUGGAGGUUAAGGCCGAAGAUAACACGCUUUGGGGGACCGUGGUAGCCAUCUUAGAUAGGGAAAUAUAAUAAUAGCUUGGAUUUAUAUAGCGCCUUUCAUGAGACCCAAGGUCGCUUUACAAAGAAGAACAGGGCAAAACAUAACUAAACAAAAGGCAGUCAGACAACCAGUCAGACAGACAAAAACAACAAAUAGAUUAGGGGCCAAAGGCCUUAGUAAACAGAUGGGACUUGAGGGCCCUUUUGAAGGCGUCAAGCGUGGGGAUGUUCCGGAGAAAGAAAGAGGGGAGGAGAGAGAACAGGAGGGAUUGACAGAGAAACUGAAGAUUGGUGAUGUGAUGGAGGGAAUCAAUCAGUUAAGGGCUUCUUUUUAACUAUUUCGUCCAUGUUGUGGGAAUUUUUCUUUCCAUGUUUUCUCCUUUAAACGUUUUUUUUGGGGAGUAAAAUUGUAAAAUUGACUUGACCAUUAAAAAACCCCGAAGUAGGCUUAACCAAAAAAAUAAUAAUACUAAAUACAAAAUAAUGUAAAAAAUUGGCUCAUGUAGCUUAUGUUUUAAACACUACAUUAUAUUGACAUACUUCACUGAUGCUAUUUGUUCAUAUUUGAACACAAAAUCCAGAUUAAGACAUUGACACCGAAGAAUAAUUUUGUCGGAUGCUUCAAGUGUUCAUUUUAACAGGAAACCAAACUUAAAACAUACUAAAGAUAUUACAUCUCCAAAAUACAAACCCUAAAAUACAAAGGUAAGAAACAAACACAUUGUUCAGGCCAUCAAAAGAACAUUGUGAAACUGAAAAGGAAAUAGCAUUAUAAUCGAAAAAGAAAAAAAAGACUUACUUACUUUUUAGUUCUCAGAAGAACCGCCAGCUGAGUGCUCUUGAAUGUGUGAAAAUGAGGCAUACAGAGCGAGUAUUUCCUCUACAUUAAAUCUAAUUAUCUUUGUCAUUAGAUUUUGUCGGCGCACAUGGGAUAAGCUCUUCGUGUGGUAACGCCUAUGUGUGUGUCUGUGCACUUAUUGGUACCAACUCAUGUGGAAGUUGAGAUUGUGAAGAUCAACCUUGUCUGUGUUUCACCAACCACAGUUCAGUUUUGCAUAAUAGUGUGCGUGUACUCCUUUAGCAACUGGAGGUGUUUCACAUGACCAGGAACUUGGCUGCUUCCUCCUUCUGGUCACUACACUUCUCUACUUAUUAAUUUCUUUAAUAUUAAACUAUAUACAAAUCAUUAUAAUUUGAAACUGUAGAGACAAUGCCAUGUAGAAUUGUUGACUAGAAAUAGAAAUGUAUAAUGUAGGAGCAACAUAAACAAUACUUAAUGCAAUACACUCUUUACCUAAUUUUAAAAUACUCUAUCCUCCAAGUGUCUUCCUCCCAAGUGAGGAAUGACAUUUGGAAAGAAAUCUAUUAAAUGAUUUAUAUUAUGUUGUGCUUACUCAAUACAAAUCUAAUAAAUUGUUAUCAAAUGUAUGAGUCCUUAUAGCUAUCAUCAUUAUGCCAUGUUACAAGCAGGUUAAACCUAAUCAAAACUAUAUUUAUAAUGCAUUAUAGUCAUGUGCAUAAUAGAAAGGAUACUGCUAUUUAAAAUCUCAUAUGUGAGUUUUUUUGGAUUACUGUUUUUUUGUACAAAAAGCAAUCAUAUUCUGCAGAAGUCAUGUUUGUCUUGAGUUUCUAGGAACCACAAAGAGUUCAGACAGAUCAGCUCUUACCCAAAUAGUCUGCUGCUCUUAAUUAUUGCAUGGAGAUCCGUGACACUAUACAACAACAGUUGUUUACUGUACAUUACACUAUGGAGUCAAAGUUUUGGCCCAUUGAAAAUAGAAGAAGUGAGAGAGGAUGUGGUACUGCUAGCUGUGAUGUGGAGACAUGUGUGCAAGCACUUAGUUAAAAGGCAAAUAGUGCCACUCCAGCUGGUGCAAUGAAGCUGAGAACAUUUAGAUAUAAAUAUUUAUCAUAUUCAGAAAAGACCCACAGAUGUAAGUACAGAAAAUCCCUUGUCCACAAAGCGAGGUGAUUUGAUUAAAGUAGUAAGUUAUAUUUGGCUAUGUUCAGUCAGUUCAUGCAGUUAAUAUUAGCCUACUUUGCUACCCAUCAUGUCCCGAAGUUUGAUCUGGAAAACUAAAUUGCACGAGAAAACCAGGUUUUUUAAAUGUAUUUAAACAAACUAUCCAUAGGUUUUUCAAAACACAUCUUAACAAUCUUAUGUACAGACAUUUACAAGUUUGCUACCCACAAUCCCUUUGCUGCCCACUGAGUACAGGCUCUACAAACAGAGCAUAACAUUGAUACUGGCACCUGGUGUAUUCUGUUAAUGUUUAAUACAAAACACAUGUCUCUUUUUGUUCAUUCAUGUCCACAAACAUAUCAUCACAAUUUUCUUUAAAUAAAUCCCUUCUCCUUACCUUGUGAGCAUGACACGUCUCGGGUAGCUUCCCAGGAAAUACAAACUCAAAACAGUUGACCUUUCUUUGGUGGAUCAUGAACCAGCAUCCUUGGCAAAGGCAUAAGUUACAGUCCGAUAUUCAAAUGGCCUUAGUCCAUCCGUCAAUGAUUAAUGUAAAAACAAUAAUGUAUCAACUCCGUGUACAAAAGAAUACAGUGCAAACAGAACCUUGGACAAGUCUCGAGCCACUUGAAAAUGUCCUAUGUAAACCAUCUAUCUAAGGAGUUAGUGUUUAUUUACAUUCAUACAAGGAGGAACAAAGGAAUAAUGUUCUCAACCUGCACUAAUUCACUAUUGUAGACAUUUUUAAAGCAGUUCUGAGAGGAUAGUUGAAAGCAUCUGACCAAAAAGGAUGUACAAGAGGGGAUUUCCCACAAUCCAAAACAAUGUAGCUUAGUGGUGUGAGACUCUGUACAGUAUAAUGACUCAUAAAACAAUAUCCCGUAUAAACUAACCUUGGCUUAAUAAGGUGAAUGCUAAAUGAAAAGCACCUAUACAAAACACUUGGUUGCACUAUACAUGUUUAGGGGAAGUGGGUCUUGCGCUUCCUCCACAGAAUGAGUCUUUGUGAGGUGAGAAUGUGCGUGACCACGCUGAGCAACAUCAGGAAGAUGGUCAUCGACAUCACUAUCACAUAAUGGCUGAUGCUGAAAGAGACAGAGAAAUACGUUGAAUACACUUAAUCAAGUGUAUGCAGCACAUUUAAAGUAGAGGCCGAAAGGAUCAUCAAGGAAUGUGGAGGGUAGUGUUAUUGUCAAGUGAUUUAUUGGUAAGAAUUAAGACACUUCAAAGCAUGUAGGUAACUAACCUUGUUCCUAUGUCCAACCAGCUGCCGUAGUCCUGCACCAGGAAGAAAAAGUGCUGAGGAGAAGAAGAAUGAGUUGAAGAUGUGGAAAGAGCCAUCAAGUCCGAGAUGACCAGGACAAUGAGGAACAAACUGGAAAACAAGAAUACAAGAGUGGAAAGAAAGCGUCAAAAUUGUCGGAUCUUGGUGAUGUCGAUGUUUGCAGAGAAAUCGAUAGUGGAGAGCUGAAAGAAAACACACACAAAAGCAUUAUCACACAUUCAUUUACACACCCAGAGAGAUGAUAACGCAGGUAUGUGGCUGUGAGGGAGAGGAAUAUGCUGAGGAGUCGGUGGAAGAUACGAGUAGAGCUCAACAACGGCACCAGCAUGGAAGACGCUGAGAAGACACAAGUGAGGAGAUUCUGAGGUGUUGGACAGAUGGUGUGCUCACUCACACCUGCCUACCUAACGUGGUCCAGCUGAUGAUCUGGUUCAGAAGCGGCAGGCCCUGUUUCUGCUGCAGGCUGGAGUGUGUGAGGGACGGCACGUACGCACACACUGCCACAUGGAGCAUCUGUGUGACAGGUGAUCAUUUAUUUCAGAAAAUGCAAUGACUCAAUCACACCCAACGUGACAUGUCUUGUAGUUACCUGGGUGAUGAACUGCUGCCGGUCAGUGAGGUGCAGCGGAGCUUUCUGCAGCGCGGACCACAGGUAACAGGCAGAGGUGAAGAGAGAGAGCACACCUGCACAGCUGGAGCAGUAAUCCAUGACAUAGUUACCUUGGCUUUUCCAAAAAGUCCUGAGAGGAAGGGCCAGAGUGAGAGGACAGCCAGGCCCACAGUCAGCAUGGCGCGAUGGAAGAAACUCACCACCUGGGGGCAGCAAAGAGGAGGAACAUGAGUGGAUACACUUCAAAGGAUCUAAUUAACACUUCACUGCCGCUGUGCCAGACGUGCAUGAACAUGUUUGUGUGAGGUGUAGGAGAACCUGGGUCCUAAACUAAAAAAAAAACAGCUUGAGAGGCAUUAAAGCAGGCAGCUGAGAGAAAAGUAAAUGAGUUUAGCACCUUGUAAGAAUCCAUCGUUGUAUGGUUGGGCUGCGGUGACUUUUUGGGCAUUUUUAACUCCGGCUCCCCACGCCACUAAAGGUGUGAGAGUCUCCGAGGGAUGGCCUGCUCCGUGGGAACCUGGAGACACAACAGACGAUACAAAAGGCUACUGUGAAUUCAUUUGCAUAAGAAAUUUUUUUUCCAGUUGCUGACAGUUGAAGAACAACAACAAGAGUCCUACCCCAGUUUGUCAUGCCAUGAUCAGAGGUGAACACAUAGGCUGUUCUUCCAUCAUGAUCAAAGAAGUCUUCCACCAUAGACACCAAAUCAGCUACACCAGUGUCUACCAGUCCAAUAUUGUCGAGGUACUCCCUAGAUAAAGAACAGAUACAAGACAUUGCUUAUUUGUUAUUUCAUUAUAUUGUAUAUGCAGUGCAACCUAAACAACAACUGAUGACAUUUCUCUCACUUCGACAUUGGUCUGUGAGCAUGUCCGUUUGUGUCGAUGCCCAGCAGAUGCAGGAAUAAGAUGUUCUGAUCCUCCAGCAGACUGGCCCUCAGACUGGAGUUAGACUUGGCUGACUGGAAGAAUGACUGGUGCAGAGAGAAAAAUAAACAUAGUAGAAUCUGUUAAAGAUGGCAUGUGG